rnacentral:rRNA from 1 species
GCGGAGGAAAAGAAACCAACAGGGAUUGCCCUAGUAACGGCGAGUGAAGCGGCAACAGCUCAAAUUUGAAAUCUGGCUCUUUUAGAGUCCGAGUUGUAAUUUGCAGAGGGCGCUUUGGCUUUGGCAGCGGUCCAAGUUCCUUGGAACAGGACGUCACAGAGGGUGAGAAUCCCGUACGUGGUCGCUGGCUAUUGCCGUGUAAAGCCCCUUCGACGAGUCGAGUUGUUUGGGAAUGCAGCUCUAAAUGGGAGGUACAUUUCUUCUAAAGCUAAAUAUUGGCCAGAGACCGAUAGCGCACAAGUAGAGUGAUCGAAAGAUGAAAAGCACUUUGGAAAGAGAGUCAAACAGCACGUGAAAUUGUUGAAAGGGAAGCGCUUGCAGCCAGACUUGCUUACAGUUGCUCAUCCGGGUUUCUACCCGGUGCACUCUUCUGUAGGCAGGCCAGCAUCAGUUUGGGCGGUAGGAUAAAGGUCUCUGUCACGUACCUCCUUUCGGGGAGGCCUUAUAGGGGAGACGACAUACUACCAGCCUGGACUGAGGUCCGCGCAUCUGCUAGGAUGCUGGCGUAAUGGCUGUAAGCGGCCCGUCUUGAAACACGGACCAAGGAGUCUAACAUCUAUGCGAGUGUUUGGGUGUCAAGCCCGAGCGCGUAAUGAAAGUGAACGGAGGUGGGAACCCGCAAGGGUGCACCAUCGACCGAUCCUGAUGUCUUCGGAAGGAUUUGAGUAAGAGCAUGGCUGUUGGGACCCGAAAGAUGGUGAACUAUGCUUGAA